ACAAUUUUUGACGAGGAAAAUGGAACUCAUCUUAGCAGAUAUGUUAAAAGGAGAUUGGCCAAAAAGAAUUCAAAAGUAGACACGGGGGAGAUGCAGGAUAAUGAAGAAAUAAUGAAGUCUUCGGAACUUACGACAGAAUUAGGAUUGUACAGUCUAAAUGGUGGUCCCUCCAACCUUUUAACAACCAUUGAUGAAGUAGAAAAUAUAGACAACAAUUUUGAAAUAACGUCAACUGAUGAGGAAGUUAUUUGUGUUAAUAGCAUUUUCUUUAAUCACGUAUCAAUAAAUUUAUUUAUAUAUCUUAUGUUUGAAUAAAUAGAUAAUAGAGAUAAAUGAAUCUACGGAGGAUGAAAACUGUAGCUAUUAUUGUGAAUCUACAUCAUCACAAACUGAAACAGAAACUGAGGAUGAACUUUACAUCCACCGUGAAAACUUUUGCCAACCAUCACAAUACUUGCCUCUUUUCAACUUGGGGUUUUAUUUCAAGAAUAACCUUUCUAAGAAGGCUUUUCAUCAAAGUUUGAAAUUGACGCAAAUUGCUACCCAAGACAGCCAAAAGCAACUACAAAAUCCUGAAUCGUGUUUAAAUGAGUACUCCCACUUGGCAGUCAAUAUUCAAAAACAAUUCAUUUGCCUUCAGAAAGAGUGCAAUCAUAUUCUUGUAAUUGACUCUAAAGGUAUCCCUACAGCUAGACAACCAUGUGGCCAUAAAUUAUCUAAAGAAGACAAGACGUGUUUCAUGCUGAAACUACCAAUCAAACAGCAGUUGCUGCAUUAUCUACAAGAAGGGGACAUGCUAGAUAAUAAAGAUUUUGUGUCGGCAACUAUACCAAAUGAAGGGAUUCGAAAAGACGUCAGUUCUGGUGAUUGCUGUCGUGCCCUAGUAAAGAAUCGACAUAUCACCAAUAGAACAAUGACUGGGAUCUUAAAUAUUGAUGGUGCUGACUUCUUUAAGUCCAGUAAAUUUGGUUUUUGGCCAUGUAUGGCAGUUAUAAACGAAGUACCGUAUAAAAAAAGACGAUCGAAUAUGGUGUUGAUGGCAUUGUGGUACGGAAACAAGAAACGUCCUCGCGAUUCUUUCCUAGAAUUUGCACUUCAAGAUUUACAAUCUCUGGAAUCCGAUCCGAUUGAAUUAAAUGGAAUUAAGUAUUUUUUUGGCCAUUGAUCGUAUCAGUUGAUGCUAUAGCCCGACCGAUAGUGCGCAAUUCCACACAAUUUAAUGGAGAGUUUGGCUGUGAUUGGUGUUUGCAUCCUGGGCAAACUUUUAAAAAGCUGGGGAAGAAGAGGGGCCAUUCUCGUGUUUAUCCAGAACCUUUUACGUUUCCUACUUUUCCCAG